AGCAUCAUGAAACAAAAAACAUGACAAAGGAGACCCUGAACUGUUGAGCAGCCGAAAUCCUCUAUCAGACAAGAACGGGACAACAAUUCACUUUAAAGUCCAGAAACUGAUCUCCUGGAUUCACCAACGUUUACAGAGUGUUGUUCAAAGAAGAGGUGAUGUAAGAUAAGCAUAAAGCAGUAAAAUCAGCCAAACUUCUCUUUGGUUCAGUGUUUAUUCAUGUCAAAAUAAAAACAGGAAAGGGAACAGACACUGAGUGAAAUAAUUCUGACUUAAAUAAGAAACUAUAGAAAUAAAAAACAAGACGAUGAAUCCGACCAAACUUUACUUUUGUUUGUGGUUUGUGUCCAGGUUCAUCCCUGGCUCUGCAAGCAUAUUGCACAUUUAUUCAUUUAGGGGCUGAACUACUCUGCGUUUCAACAGUUCCAGAGGCACCAUGAAAGGGUUGAGGGGUGGACAGACCCCCGUAAUUUCUGUGUCCUGAUUGGAUGGGGUGUUGCUCGCAGAUGAUUGGCUCUCAGCUUUGUGCGGCUGCUGUGUGACCUCCUCGCUUUGCUUGUCAGCUGGUUCGGCAGCAUUCUGCUGAGCGUUUGGUGUUCCCGUGUCCGGACCAGCCGGUGAGUCGGUCCGAGGAGGGAGUCUAUCCUGCAGGUCUUUGGCCAUCUUUGAGUGCGAGGAGGAGGAGAGACUCUGAUACACCUGAAGACAAGAGGAGGAGGAAACAAUCGUGUUAUAAAAUGUCAGCUGAGCAGUGAGAGUGUCGCAGAGACGGAUGCAAAGAGAGAGGGAGAUCACACAAGAAGAAACAUUUCCUUUAACCUGAAUUUAUUUCAUAAUUAACACAGCUUACCUGCAGCUAGCGACUUCUUCAGUUCACUGUAGCACCAUGCAAGGAAAUUCUUUUAACAAAUAACUGUACUGGACACAAUUUCAAAAUAAAAGCAUUUUGUGAAAACAA